rnacentral:lncRNA from 1 species
GGUAGAGGAGUGAAGUGGGGAAAGUAACCACGUCUUACAAAAUGAGCAACCAUCGUCUUUUUCUUAUACUAUAAUUCUCUUUCCUCUAUACUUUUUCUUCCUUCUUCUUAUCUCAUCUACUGGUACUUUCCAUCUAUGAAACUCGAAUAAACUUUUCAUGUGAACUUUGUUAAUUCAUUAUCCAAAUCCUUUCUCUACAUGUUACAUCAUCCUUUUCUCACUUUGCCCAUUCAUUGAGCAUGUUUGAUUUUAUU